UAGGGAAUCUUCGGCAAUGGACGGAAGUCUGACCGAGCAACGCCGCGUGAGUGAAGAAGGUUUUCGGAUCGUAAAGCUCUGUUGUAAGAGAAGAACGAGUGUGAGAGUGGAAAGUUCACACUGUGACGGUAUCUUACCAGAAAGGGACGGCUAACUACGUGCCAGCAGCCGCGGUAAUACGUAGGUCCCGAGCGUUGUCCGGAUUUAUUGGGCGUAAAGCGAGCGCAGGCGGUUAGAUAAGUCUGAAGUUAAAGGCUGUGGCUUAACCAUAGUAGGCUUUGGAAACUGUUUAACUUGAGUGCAAGAGGGGAGAGUGGAAUUCCAUGUGUAGCGGUGAAAUGCGUAGAUAUAUGGAGGAACACCGGUGGCGAAAGCGGCUCUCUGGCUUGUAACUGACGCUGAGGCUCGAAAGCGUGGGGAGCAAACAGGAUUAGAUACCCGGGUAGUCCACGCUGUAAACGAUGAGUGCUAGGUGUUAGACCCUUUCCGGGGUUUAGUGCCGUAGCUAACGCAUUAAGCACUCCGCCUGGGGAGUACGACCGCAAAGGUUG
rnacentral:rRNA from 1 species